AACGAACGCUGGCGGCGCGUCUUAAGCAUGCAAGUCGAAUGGCAAGAUUGGUGCUUGCACCGAUCCUAGAAUGGCAGACUGGUGAGUAACACGUGGGUGACAUACCCUCUGGAUGGGGACAGCUGUUAGAAAUAGCAGGUAAUACCGAAUAAGCUUGUGCAGGUUAGAGUGGCAUAAGGAAAGGUGCUCCGGCACCACCAGAGGAAUGGCUCGCGGCCCAUUAGCUAGUUGGUGAGGUAACGGCCCACCAAGGCGAUGAUGGGUAUCCGGCCUAAGAGGGUAAACGGACACAUUGGGACUGAGAUACCGGCCCAGACUCCGUACGGGAGGCAGCAGCUAAGAAUAUUCCGCAAUGGACGAAAGUCUGACGGAGCGACGCCGCGUGGAUGAAUGAAGGCCGAAAGGUUGUAAAAUCCUUUUGAACUGGACGAAUAAGUGUGGCAGGGAAUGGUCAUAUGGUGACGGUACUAGUUUGAAUAAGAGGCGGCUAAUUACGUGCCAGCCGCCGC
rnacentral:rRNA from 1 species